AAACUGUGAUGUGGGCAUUUUCUCAAUAAAUCUGUGAAUCUUUUCCAAGUUUCGUAUAAACUCUCUUGAUCAUGGUGAACAAAAGUCAUUAUCUCAUUGCGCAGUUU
rnacentral:snoRNA from 1 species